AUUGAACGCUGGCGGCAGGCCUAACACAUGCAAGUCGACCGAGAGGCGGGCGGGUGCGUAAUGUCUAGGAAACUGACCGAUUGAGGGGGAUAACUACUGGAACCGGUAUCUCAUACCGCAUACCCUCUGCAUUGCCCCUAUGGGAUGCGCUAGUUGGUGGGGUGACGGCUCACCUAGGCGACGAUCCCUAUCGGGUCUGAGAGGAUGACCAGUCACACUGCAACCGCGACACGGGCCAGACUCCUACGUGAGGCAGCAGUGGGGAAUAGGUCACGAUGGGAGCAAGCCCGAUGCAGCCAUGCCGCGUGUAUUAAGAAGGCCUUCGGGUUGUAAAGUACUUUCUGCGAGGAGGCGUUACUCUCAGAAGAAGCACCGGCUAACUCCGUGCCAGCAGCCGCGGUAAUAC
rnacentral:rRNA from 1 species